UGCAGUCGAACGAACCUUCGGGUUAGUGGCGGACGGGUGAGUAACGCGUGAGAAUCUGCCCUCAGGAGGGGGAUAACGGUUGGAAACGACCGCUAAUACCCCAUAUGCCGCGAGGUGAAAUGAAUUUCGCCUGAGGAUGAGCUCGCGUCUGAUUAGCUAGUUGGUGGGGUAAAGGCCUACCAAGGCAUCGAUCAGUAGCUGGUCUGAGAGGAUGAUCAGCCACACAGGGACUGAGACACGGCCCAGACUCCUACGGGAGGCAGCAGUGGGGAAUUUUCCGCAAUGGGCGAAAGCCUGACGGAGCAACGCCGCGUGAGGGAUGAAGGCCUCUGGGCUGUAAACCUCUUUUAUCAAGGAAGAAGAUCUGACGGUACUUGAUGAAUAAGCCACGGCUAAUUCCGUGCCAGCAGCCGCGGUAAUACGGGAGUGGCAAGCGUUAUCCGGAAUUAUUGGGCGUAAAGCGUCCGCAGGCGGCCCUUCAAGUCUGCUGUUAAAAAGUGGAGCUUAACUCCAUCAUGGCAGUGGAAACUGUUGGGCUUGAGUGUGGUAGGGGCAGAGGGAAUUCCCGGUGUAGCGGUGAAAUGCGUAGAUAUCGGGAAGAACACCAGUGGCGAAGGCGCUCUGCUGGGCCAUCACUGACGCUCAUGGACGAAAGCCAGGGGAGCGAAAGGGAUUAGAUACCCCUGUAGUCCUGGCCGUAAACGAUGAACACUAGGUGUCGGGGGAAUCGACCCCCUCGGUGUCGUAGCCAACGCGUUAAGUGUUCCGCCUGGGGAGUACGCACGCAAGUGUGAAACUCAAAGGAAUUUGACGGGGGCCCGCACAAGCGGUGGAGUAUAUGGGGUUUAAUUCGAUGCAACGCGAAGAACCUUACCAGGGUUUGACAUCCUGCGAAUCUCUUGGAAACGAGAGAGUGCCUUCGGGAACGCAGUGACAGGUGGUGCAUGGCUGUCGUC
rnacentral:rRNA from 1 species